rnacentral:pre_miRNA from 1 species
AAAGUACUCCCUCCGUCCCAAAAUUCUUGUCUUAGACUUGUCUAGAUACGGAUGUAUCAAGUCACAUUUUAGUAUUAGAUACAUCCGUAUCUAGACAAAUCUAAGACAAGAAAUUUGGGACAGAGGGAGUAGUUG